rnacentral:rRNA from 1 species
GACGAACGCUGGCGGCGUGCUUAACACAUGCAAGUCGAACGGUAAGGCCUUUCUGGGUACACGAGCGGCGAACGAGUGAGUGAGACGUAGGUGAGCGACCCUGCACUUCGGGAUAAGCCUGGCUAACUGAGUCUAAUACCUGAUAUGACCUCCUAUCGCAUGGUGGGUGGGGGAGAGAUUUAUCGGUGCAGGAUGGGCCCGCGGCCGAUCAGCUUGUUGGUGGGGUAAUGGCCUACCAAGGCGACGACGGGGAGCCGACCUGAGAGGGUGACCGGCAACAUUGGGACUGAGACACGGCCCAGACUCCUACGGGAGGCAGCAGUGGGGAAUAUUGCACAAUGGGCGAAAGCCUGAUGCAGCGACGCCGCGUGAGGGAUGACGGCCUUCGGGUUGUAAACCUCUUUCCGCAGGGACGAAGCGUAAGUGACGGUACCUGGAGAAGAAGCACCGGCUAACUACGUG